CAAGCAAGCCAAGGACCAUAUGUUUUUUGUGUUACACUUUCAGCAUCUAAGCUUAUUAUAUUCAACACAAGGAGAAAGUCCCCGGAAAACAAAAUAUCUUCUGUCCAAUGAUUAAAGAUUAGGGCAGUGGGGUAUUUAGUAAAGCAACUUUGUUUGUUUGUUUUUUUCAUAAUAAAAGUAAUAUGGUCACCCUAUAAUAAUGGGCAACUUAAUGGGGCUUACUCUGGCUUGUUU
rnacentral:RNase_MRP_RNA from 2 species